rnacentral:lncRNA from 1 species
UCAUCUACAUCUAACUAUAGAACUGCACUACAAAAAGGAACAUCAGUAAUGUCUGAGUUCUAGGUUAUAAGGGGAGAUCAUUUACAUCUAACUACAGAACUGCACUACAGAAAGGAACAUCAGUAAUGUCUGAGUUCUGUGGUUAUAAUGGUCACACAAGAGAGUAGUGUUUUAAACUGAUUGGAUAUCCCUCAGACUGACCUAAAUCUAAGAAGAAAGAAGCAGGUCAAUAUGCCCAUCAAGUAGGGAAUGUUGCUCCUUUUGCUUGUCAUGAUUUUGGCUACUCUGUGGACUCAAACUCCAAAUUGACAAGCUCUCUCAAUCUAGCAUAUCAUAUUAUAUGUCACCUCAUGUUCUACAUUUUACACCAAAACAAUACUAUUAGAUUGUGAUGAUGCUCAAUAAAGAAAAAGAAAAGGAGGACUCUACUCCACUGAUAGCAAAUGCAAGUAUCAUGAUAUCUCCAACUAACCACUACAAGUGAUAGUUGGAUUAUUGAUACUAGUGCUACUAAUCAUAUGGCAUCUAACCUUGAUUUGUUUCAUAGUUGUCAUGAAGUGUCUCUAUCUUCACAAAAUAAGGUGUACCUUCUAACAAGUAGUGAGAUUUUAGUUUCUCACAAAGGCACCUCUAUUGUGCUAACUAAUUCUUCCAUUUCUGAUCUUCUGUAUCUACCUGAUUUUAAGUACAAUCUUUUGUUUGUAACUAAGAUGACUAAGGAAUUGUAGUGUUCAGUGGGACUAUUUCCUGACUUCUGCAAAUUUCAAGAUCUUUAUACUGGAAUUGUGCUAGGGAUUGGUAGAGAAGAUCCAGGAUUGUACAUUCUCAAAAAGGCUCCACUCAAUAAAGCUGUGUAAAUAGGUUUGCUCAUAAUGUACGGUUUCUAUCGACUCCAGUUUUCUCAGGCAAAUAAGAAUGGGGCAUGCUCCAAUUUAAUGUGUUUAAUAAAUAUGUUGCACCAAGUCACUGGAAGUAUGACGAUUGUGUGUACUGUAUGUCCUCUUACUAAGCACGCAAAGAUACCUUUUAAUCAGCCUAGCAUCUCU